rnacentral:misc_RNA from 1 species
GAUGAAGAACGUAGCGAAAUGCGAUACGUAGUGUGAAUUGCAGAAUUCAGUGAAUCAUCGAAUCUUUGAACGCACAUUGCACCUCUCGGUAUUCCGGGAGGUAUGCCUGUUCGAGCGUCAUUUGUACCCUCAAGCUCUGCUUGGUGUUGGGUGUUUGUUCCGCCUCUGUGUGUGAACUCGCCUCAAAACAAUUGGCAGCCGGCGUACUUGUUUCGGAGCGCAGCACAUUUUGCGAUCCAGAUCAACGUACAGCGGCAUCCAAGAAGCCUUAUUUAACGCUCUUGACCUCGGAUCAGGUAGGGAUACCCGCUGAACUUAAGCAUAUCAAUAAGCGGAGUA